rnacentral:rRNA from 1 species
GAGUUUGAUCCUGGCUCAGAUUGAACGCUGGCGGCAUGCCUUACACAUGCAAGUCGAACGGCAGCACGGGAGCAAUCCUGGUGGCGAGUGGCGAACGGGUGAGUAAUAUAUCGGAACGUGCCCAGUCGUGGGGGAUAACGCAGCGAAAGCUGUGCUAAUACCGCAUACGAUCUCUGGAUGAAAGCGGGGGACUCUGAAAGGAGCCUCGCGCGAUUGGAGCGGCCGAUAUCAGAUUAGCUAGUUGGUGGGGUAAAAGCUCACCAAGGCGACGAUCUGUAGCUGGUCUGAGAGGACGACCAGCCACACUGGAACUGAGACACGGUCCAGACUCCUACGGGAGGCAGCAGUGGGGAAUUUUGGACAAUGGGCGCAAGCCUGAUCCAGCAAUGCCGCGUGCAGGAUGAAGGCCUUCGGGUUGUAAACUGCUUUUGUACGGAACGAAAAAGUUCUUUCUAAUAAAGAGAGCUCAUGACGGUACCGUAAGAAUAAGCACCGGCUAACUACGUGCCAGCAGCCGCGGUAAUACGUAGGGUGCGAGCGUUAAUCGGAAUUACUGGGCGUAAAGCGUGCGCAGGCGGUUAUGUAAGACAGAUGUGAAAUCCCCG